GACGAACGCUGGCGGCGUGCCUAAUACAUGCAAGUAGAACGCUGAAGGAGGAGCUUGCUUCUCUGGAUGAGUUGCGAACGGGUGAGUAACGCGUAGGUAACCUGCCUGGUAGCGGGGGAUAACUAUUGGAAACGAUAGCUAAUACCGCAUAAGAGUAGAUGUUGCAUGACAUUUGCUUAAAAGGUGCAAUUGCAUCACUACCAGAUGGACCUGCGUUGUAUUAGCUAGUUGGUGAGGUAACGGCUCACCAAGGCAACGAUACAUAGCCGACCUGAGAGGGUGAUCGGCCACACUGGGACUGAGACACGGCCCAGACUCCUACGGGAGGCAGCAGUAGGGAAUCUUCGGCAAUGGACGGAAGUCUGACCGAGCAACGCCGCGUGAGUGAAGAAGGUUUUCGGAUCGUAAAGCUCUGUUGUAAGAGAAGAACGAGUGUGAGAGUGGAAAGUUCACACUGUGACGGUAGCUUACCAGAAAGGGACGGCUAACUACGUG
rnacentral:rRNA from 1 species